AUCUCUUUCUACUUCAGAAGUGUGACCACUGGGGAUUCACUCUCACGUGUGAGAUGUGUUUCCCUCAAACCUAGUUCUGAGGCUGGCGCAGUAUCCAUCUGAUG
ensembl:snoRNA